UGCUGUUUUCAUAUAAUAACAGUAAGUUACUGUAUUUUGCGAUGCAUUGUGGGAUAUGUUGAUCAGCAACAGUAUGACACUGUUGUUUAACAGCAUAAUACCAUAUUUUCCAUUGUACAUGUGGAGGGGAAAGAAAGACAUUUUGGUUUAUCUGCACAAGGUCAUUUUGCAGCUCUGCCUUUUAUUGCUUUAUUUCUAAAGUACUUAUUACUUUUAAAAAUUAAUGUUUCAACAUCCAAUCAAGCUUUUGGGAUUUAAAUUGGAUUCGUGACCGUGUUUUAAUCAGCAAGUUACCACAGGAGAAGUUAACACACAACUGGAAAGAAACUUUUUUUUCUCUAACCCGCACAUCUUAAACUUUAUCUGAUAUGACGUUUUGUGAAAUGAUCUUCUUUUGUGGUUACAAUUUUAGCGUGAGGUUCAAACCGGCUAUCUGCUGCAGUUAUUUGCAACCACACUUUUGGUUUUAACUUACAGCAUACACUUCUAAAUAUUAACAUUAUAAAGAGCCACCAAAGCAUAAUUUGAUGAAAGGAUAGCAUGUAUUAAUCAUGGAACAGUAACCAAGUAAGAUAUGAUAGCAUUGUUAGCUUGUUAGCAUAUACCUCGAUUGCAUUUUAUGUGUUAUUUAUUACCAUCACACAAUUUCGGUAACUGAAACAUGCUCCGAACUUCAUCUAAGCAAAAGAUACAUGUGUAUGAACAAAAUUCAUAAUUCUUGCACGAUUACUGUGAACGUACUCAAAGCGCUGCUAGCGAUUGCAAAAAUAGCAGCAGAUGGACCGAAAGAAUCUGUCGGUUUUUAUUUUAUUUUUAUACUUUAUUUUAAUAUUUUGUGUGUGGGAUGUCUGUAAUUAGUUAACUAGAGAAGCUAUCUAUUCUUUACAUUAUGUUUUCCUUUUCCUUGUAGUUCAAAGGCUGACUUUGUAGAGAAGCAAAUGACUCACUCUUUAAGAAAAUGUAAGUUUGCCUAUUGUUUGUUCAAUAAAUCAUUCACUAAAAAUCUCAUUAUUUACUUAACCUUAUGCUGUCUUAAACUCAUAGGACUGUCUCUUGGAGGACAAAUGAAGAUAUUGUCCUGGAGAACUGAUGUCUGUUUUGCCCAUAUGGAAGGCCAGUGGGAACCAAACCUUCGAGCUCCAAAAGGAACAUAAAGAUGUCUGCCACUCCUUCUGACCUUGAGAAAAUGGGUAACCUGCCUGUGACUCCUAGCUUGAUCCUUCUUGAUACUUUAUUGGAAUAAGUCCAGAAAAGAGGAUCAAAGCUGCAUGGAGAAAAGAGGUGUCUAGAAUAACUGGAAAAACUGCAGAAGAAGACCCAAGAUGAUGAAGAAGAACAUCAGUCCAGAAGUAUCUCAUCCUUAACUCAACCUUAUGCUGUCUCAAACCAGUAGGACUUUCUCUUAGAGGACAAAUUAAGAUAUUGUCAUAGAGAAAUGUUUGCCCAUACAGUGGAAGACAAAUGGGAACCAAACAUUUGAGCUCCAAAAGGAACAUAAAGGUACGAUUAAUUAAAGACACUAGUCAUUUCAUCUGAUAUCUUUUAUAAACCAUUUGUUUACAGUUUUUCUCGAUUGCUAAAACACUAUAACCAAUCUUUUGAACUAAAAUUUCAAAACCAUAAUGCCAUUUUUCAAAAAGCACACCCAUUUCCCUGAACUAUAAACAACUAUUCCCCUGCUUUAACACAUGAGUUAGAUUUGGUGAACUGUUACUGCAAAACUCACAAAUCCCUACAUUUCUCAGUGCUUACACCAUGUGGUCAUUUAGAAAGCACUAGCAUUCAAUAUUGUUCACUCAAGUCUGCAAAGUUUGAGCUCAAUUAGCACACGAU